rnacentral:rRNA from 1 species
GACGAACGCUGGCGGCGUACCUAAGACAUGCAAGUCGAACGGUGCUCUCACGGGGGCACAGUGGCGGACGGGUGAGGAGCACGUACGGAACCUAUCGCGGGGACGGGGGAUACCCCUGGGAAACCAGGGCUAAGACCGCGUACGCUCCUGGGGGGAGGGACCCUGGGAGGAGAGGGAGCAGGUGAGGAGCCUGAAUCUGGCCUGCGCGGGGCGUGCGUCUGAUUAGCUAGUUGGGGGGGUAACGGCCUCCCAAGGCGACGAUCAGUCGCUGGUCUGAGAGGAUGAUCAGCCACACUGGGACUGAGAGACGGCCCAGACUCCUACGGGAGGCAGCAGUUAGGGAAGUUUCACACUGGGCGCAAGCCUGAUGGAGUGACGCCGCGUGAGCGAAGAAGCCCCUCGGGGUGUAAAGCUCUUUUCUCCGGGACGACAAAACUAGGACGGUACCCGGGGGAAGAAGCCUCGGCUAACUACGUGCCAGCAGCCGCGGUAAGAC